rnacentral:rRNA from 1 species
UACGGAGGGUGCGAGCGUUGUCCGGAAUCAUUGGGCGUAAAGGGCGCGUAGGUGGCCCGGUCAGUUCGUGGUGAAAGCGCGGGGCUCAACCCUGCGUCGGCCAUGAAUACUGCCGCGGCUGGAGCACUGUAGGGGCAGGCGGAAUUCCGGGUGUAGCGGUGGAAUGCGUAGAGAUCCGGAAGAACACCGGUGGCGAAGGCGGUCUGCUGGGCAGUUGCUGACACUGAGGCGCGACAGCGUGGGGAGCAAACAGG